rnacentral:rRNA from 1 species
GGAAGGGGUGUAUUUAUUAGAUAAAAAACCAACGCCCUUCGGGGCUCCUUGGUGAAUCAUAAUAACUUAACGAAUCGCAUGGCCUUGCGCCGGCGAUGGUUCAUUCAAAUUUCUGCCCUAUCAACUUUCGAUGGUAGGAUAGUGGCCUACCAUGGUUGCAACGGGUAACGGAGGGUUAGGGCUCGACCCCGGAGAAGGAGCCUGAGAAACGGCUACUACAUCCAAGGAAGGCAGCAGGCGCGCAAAUUACCCAAUCCCGACACGGGGAGGUAGUGACAAUAAAUACUGAUACAGGGCUCUUUUGGGUCUUGUAAUUGGAAUGAGUACAAUUUAAAUCCCUUAACGAGGAACAAUUGGAGGGCAAGUCUGGUGCCAGCAGCCGCGGUAAUUCCAGCUCCAAUAGCGUAUAUUAAAGUUGUUGUGGUUAAAAAGCUCGUAGUUGAACCUUGGGCCUGGCCGUCCGGUCCGCCUCACCGCGUGUACUGGCUCGGCCGGGCCUUUCCCUCUGUGGAACCCCAUGCCCUUCACUGGCUGUGGGGGGAACCAGGACUUUUAC